AUUGAACGCUGGCGGCAGGCCUAACACAUGCAAGUCGAACGAGUGGCGGACGGGUGAGUAAUGUCUGGGAAACUGCCUGAUGGAGGGGGAUAACUACUGGAAACGGUAGCUAAUACCGCAUACCAUCGGAUGUGCCCAGAUGGGAUUAGCUAGUAGGUGGGGUAAAGGCUCACCUAGGCGACGAUCCCUAGCUGGUCUGAGAGGAUGACAAUCCAAACUGGAAGUGAGACACGGUCCAGACUCCGACUGGAGGCAGCAGGGGGGAAUAUUGCACAAUGUGCGCAAGCCUGAUGCAGACAUGCCGCGUGUAUGAAGAAGGCCUUCGGGUUUUAAAGUACUUUCAGCGGGGAAGCGUUACCCGCAGAAGAAGAACCGGAUAACUCCGUGCCAGCCGCCGCGGUAAUAC
rnacentral:rRNA from 1 species